UACCAGCACCCCGAAUGGUCGGGACGAUUAUUGGGCCUAAAGCAUCCGUAGCCGGUUCUGCAAGUCCCCCGUUAAAUCCAGCUGCUCAACAGAUGGGCCGCGGAGGAUACUCCAGAGCUAGGAGGCAGGAGAGGCAAGCGGUACUCAGUGGGUAGGGGUAAAAUCCGUUGAUCCAUUGAAGACCACCAGUGGCGAAGGCGGCUUGCCAGAAUGCGCUCGACGGUGAGGGAUGAAAGCUGGGGGAGCAAACCGG
rnacentral:rRNA from 1 species